GUUGUGACAAACAUGAUAGCUAGUUCAGGUAUCAGCUCUGACCUCAGCUCAGUUUUUGUGCAUAAAGUAGCUAGGACAGUUUGACCCCUCCUGCAGGCCUGCUGUUUGGGGAACAGGUCCAAUUCGUAGGACCACAGUGUUUCCUCAGCGAGCUGCACAGGAGAGCUCUGCAGGAAUGCUGCUAAGCUGCAGAUGUACCAGCCAAAUUACUCCAGAGGGGAAUUACCAGGCCAUAAAUCCAGACGUCAGGAGAAUGGCUGUAGCCUAUUUCACGGCUUCCCAAAAGGAGCAGUGGGCCGAGUUCAGGCAGAUGCUGGAGGUGUCUGCGGACUGCGCAGGGCAUUAUGGGACAGGCAGCCGAGAGCCAACAGAAGGAGAAAGAGGCGUCUGUGCAGGUCUGCGACAUCUCUUGGUCAUAUGUUGUCUGUGUGCUGACCCCGGUGAACAUGGAGCACCACGGCCUGCUGAGUGAAACUGCAUGUGUCUGUCAGAGAAGCUUGUAAUGUGGCUCUUGGCUUCGUUCAUCUAUUAACAAUCACAUUUUGGUGCCAGCCUCUUAGUGUGUGUGUCUACAAGCUGUAACCCUGCUCUGAAUUCAUUAAUUGCGAUGGAGGAUAAAAAAAAAAAGAAGAAAAAAAGGGACACUUAGCAGGCUCAUUAGGGCAGGGACAUCAACACAGGCUAAAUACUAUAUUCAAAUGUAGCUUUACAUAUAUUAUUGACAUAUUACUGCCAUCAUUUGAUUUCUUUUAAACAAAAUAUUUACUUAUCUAUUGUCUUACCCCAUUAAGUCAAGAGUUUAGGCUUUAACGCGAACGAUUUAUGUCAUUGAACGCAGCAGGCCGAUAUAUGAUGCGUUUAAGAUCACUGUGUGAGCGCCUGUGUGUGUAAUCGUACAUUUGAACGCCCCAUCUCCUUCAAAAACUAAAUUAGAAAUAAAUCCAAAUCCAUCAUAGUAAAAAAAAGAACAUGUAACU